CUUCACAGAGCAGCAAGGAUGAGCACAAUGCUUGGGACACAGCACAGCAGCUUUCCCAGCUGCACAUCACUCUGCAACUGGCUGGAUAAAUGCAGGACAGACAACUGUCUGACAGACAUUUGUUAGAUUGUCGACCACCAAAUGUGUGAGAUUCGUGUCCAUCUGAAUGAUCAGCUCGGUUUUUAUUUCCAGUGACAACCUCAGCCAUCAAGUCCCACCAUAUUCAAACCCAGACCAUGAAGCAGACUGUGUGUAAGCAAUUUAACAAGUGAAGACGUGAACAUAUUUGAAGAUAAUUUACUUUACCAGAUCAAAACUAGAAGACAGUUGAAAUGGCCAGCAGACCAGUUGAAGCAUGUUGAUCCUGUUCUAACAUCAU